rnacentral:lncRNA from 1 species
UGGAUCAUGGAUGUGCUAAUGGAUGACACGGAUGACAAGGAAAGUGCCAUCGUACAUGCUCUGGGUGUCUUGAGGAGCUUGUCUUUGGAUGAUGCUGAGCAGGUCUUUCUUUCUGGUAAAGAUUAUCAUUACAGUGAAGUAAAAGAAUUUAACAGACAAACAACUGACGAAAGAAGAGAGACCAUUCAAUAGUGGAUGCCCUUCCAGCCGCAACCCAGUACUGGGAAACACCCAUUUACACUCAUAGUGUACACUUGAACACGGGGAGAACAUGCAAAUUCUACACAGAAAGGACCACUGGCCCAGCCGGGGCUUGAACCAGCAACCUUCUUGCUGUGAGGCGACGGUGCUAACCACUGUGCUGCCCUAUGUGCUCUAUGCGGGUGAGUGGGAUUGACAAACCACCUGGAGGACACACUCUUGCUGUCUUAAUGCACCAGACAUUUUGUUAUAAAUAAUCAUGUGCGUUUCAUGUUUAUUCAUAUAACUACUAUUUUAUGUCAUAGCACUUCAUUUUUGUCUUGAUAUUUAAUAUGUCUUGUUUAAAUACACUAUGAACAGCAGCUGCGCUAAUUAAUUUCCUUGUUCCCUAUUUCCACCUGGGGAUAUUCAUCCCUAGGCCUCUAGAGAUCGUGACCUGUGAAGAGAUGAUGCCACCAUAGAGGACUUCUAAAUGUAUCCAUAAUCCUGAAACAGACCGUAUCAUGAGCAGAUGCUGUGGUGGUCAUGGAGGAGUAGAGAGCAUGAGACUGAUUAAUGAAAGACCCCAGUGACAGAUG